AGAGUUUGAUCCUGGCUCAGGACGAACGCUGGCGGCGUGCCUAAUACAUGCAAGUCGAACGGAAUCCAUCCGGUGGUAACACUGGUGAAGAUUUAGUGGCGAACGGGUGCGUAACACGUGAGCAACCUGCCCCAAAGACUGGGAUAACACCGGGAAACCGAUGCUAAUACCGGAUGCCCCCAUUGGUCCGCAUGGACUGAUGAGGAAAGGAAUCUGCUUUGGGAGGGGCUCGCGGCCUAUCAGCUUGUUGGUGAGGUAACGGCCCACCAAGGCGACGACGGGUAGCUGGUCUGAGAGGACGAUCAGCCCCACUGGGACUGAGACACGGCCCAGACUCCUACGGGAGGCAGCAGUAGGGAAUCUUGCGCAAUGGGCGAAAGCCUGACGCAGCAACGCCGCGUGGGGGAUGAAGGCCUUCGGGUUGUAAACUCCUUUCAGUGGGAACG
rnacentral:rRNA from 1 species